UCUCAGUCGUCGCUAGUUUCUCUGAUCUAGUACUCUACAUGCUGCUAUGAAUGUUUUAGCAAGCAGAGGGAGAGUCAGGCCUUGUUUAGUUUGCAAAAAUUUUCAAGAUUCCCCAUCACAUCGAAUCUUUAGUCGCAUACAUAGAACAUUAAAUAAAGAUAAAAAUAAAAACUAAUUACACAGUUUAUCUGAAAUCUAUGAGAUGAAUCUUUUGAGUUUAGUUACUCCGUGAUUGAACAAUGUUUGUCAAAUAAAAACGAAAGUGCUACAGUAGCAAAAAAAAAAAACCAAAAUUUUGCCGACUAAACAAGGACUCAGUCAUCGUCUCCUCUUGAGGCUUGUGUAUGGUACAGCACGGCCUUCCUCCAAGUCCAAGUCCAUGUGCGCCACUGCCUGUUUUUCCACUGUCUCCCUAGAUCACGGUGAUGGUUAGAGCAUCUCCAACCAUUAUGCAUUUGAAUUUAUACAUUUUAGGCAAAUUGCGAAUUCCCAAAUGAAAAUGACAAGGCUAAAAUCGGAUGAUCUCCAACCGUUAUGUAAAAUGCCAAGUCCAUCAUCUUUUUUUUCCCGGAAAUUUUGUUUCGCGGCACUCCUUCCCGCGCGGCCUCGAUCCCGCGCCAAACAGCCCGCCGUCGUCUCCCGUUCACCAAUUCCCGCGCCAAACAGCCGCGCAGUACCGACCGUGAGUUGCGCAGUUCGUCGUUCCCGUUCGCAGUACCGAUCUCCCGUUCCGUUAGUUCCCGUUCACCGUACCGUCUGUUGGCCAUCAGUUCGUCGUCGUACAGGUUCGCCCCUUGGCUCCAGUACCGAUCUCCAUCAGGUCGCCGCCAUCAGUCAAGCUGGCGAAGGAGGACGCACGAUGCUUCUCCUAUCGCGUGAAGUGGUGGCGGCGCGAAGGGAAACCGCGCGAAGGGAAGAAAAAAGCUCGCGAGGUGGAACCGAGAAUCCCUUAAUCUCUAUUUGCAUAGCCGGACUCCUUUGGCAUAUAUGCCAAAUUUCCCCCUCCAAAUGCAUAGCUAUGUAAAAUGCAAAGUCCAAAUGCAUAACGAUUGGAGGGGUUUUUUUGGAGUUUUAUGCAUUUUGGUAAAUGCCAAGUCCAUUUGCAUAAUGGUUGGAGUUGCUUUUAUGUUUGCAACUGGAGACUAGUGCAAGCGAAUCUGCUGGGCUACCAAACUAGCAGUCCACUGGUUCAGUUCAGUUCCUGUCAAUUCUUCGGAACAAACCUUCUACUCCCUCCAUUCUAAUUGGAAAUCAUUCCAAGAAUCACGUAGAGUCAAAGCAUUCUCACGUUUGACCAAAAUUAUAGAGAAAAAUAAUAAGAUUUGUAAUGUAAAGUGAGUAUACUAUAAAAAUAUAAUUGAGCAAGAAUCUAAUGAUAUUUAGUUAGUAUCAUAACAAUAAUUAUUUUAUCAUAUAAAUUUGGUCAAACUUAGAAAAGUUUGACUCUGCAAGAUUCUUGGAAUGACUUACAAUUUUGGAUAGAGGGAGUACGUUACUUCGUAGUAGCACGUUCAAACCUUCAGAUGGACGGGAUCAAAUAAGUUCUUUCCAUCGAGCUUAAACCGAUGAAGAUUCGCAAUUACCGAAAUUGGUUGGCUCAUCAUACUCUGCAGUUCUUCAAGAGAAACGAAUGAGUCCGUUAACAUUCCAACUUCAUUAUUCAUGGAUGCCAGAUUCCGGAAAGAAGAGGAUGAGGAAACCAUGCAUAGAAACACGCUUCCAGAAUGCAGAGUUGUGAGAAAACUAAGCGUAAAACACAUUUCCACACUAAUAAAUUGGGUGGAGUUCUCCUAGUGUCUUUAAUUAGUAAUAAAAUACUACCAGUAGUCAUAACACUAGAGAAUACUCAAUAAGAUAAGACACAUUAAGAGAGAAAGUUUGUACUAAAUUUUGAAUGCUAAAACACUAGGAGAAGACCACAUUACUGAGAAAUUGAAAAUUUUGGUUGUGCCAUAACACUGUCAUAGGAAAAAAAAACACAACCAUAGAAUCAACGGUCCAGUCCUAGUCAACAUGGGAGGCAAUGCACCUGGCCAUCUGCGCGUUUCCACUUUACAGCACAGACACACAGCAGGCAGUACAUGUAAGAAUAGCGAUUCAGCAGAGUGCAUGAUGGCAUGGGACCUGAUGAUCCGAGGGAGGCAAUGCAUCUGGCCAUCUGCGUGUUUCCAUAUGUACUGCUAGUAUUGUUUGCUGAUUUAUUGUGAGAGAAAAAUACUACUGACUGGUACAAAAAAUACGGCUUAUAAGACAACCGACCGGAGCCUCAUUAUCAGUCAGAGCAACCAAUAAGCUCUACGCCGCCGCUGCUGCUGGCAAUGAACCGAAAGCCACCACCGGCCAUGGUGCUCCUCAGAAUCAGGCGCUUGCUCCAGCUGCUCCUACUGACCUCCGCUGCAGCAACAACCAGUGCAACGAUCUAUUCGCCAGGCCAUGGCCAUGGCCAUGACCAUGACGAUGAGAGAGCUCUUCUGUCACUCAAGGCCAAGAUCUCCCGCCACUCUGGCGUCCUGGAUUCGUGGAACCAGAGCAGCAGCUACUGCAGCUGGGAGGGCGUCACUUGCGGCAAGAGACACGCGUGGCGGGUGGUCGCUCUGGACCUCAGCUCCCAGGGGCUCGCCGGCACCAUCUCCCCCGCCAUCGGCAACCUCACCUUCCUGCGCUUACUCAACCUGAGCUACAACAGCCUUCAUGGCGAGAUACCUGCUAGCGUUGGCUCCCUCAGGCGCCUUCGACGUCUUCACCUGAGCGGGAACAUGAUCACUGGUGUCAUCCCGAGUAACAUCAGCCGCUGCAUCAGCCUCCGUGGGAUUAUCAUCCAAGACAACAAAGGCCUGCAGGGAAGCAUCCCAGUUGAGAUUGGCAGCAUGCCAGCGCUCUCAGUUCUUGCGCUGGACAACAACAGCAUUACCGGAACCAUCCCGUCGUCUCUUGGGAAUCUUUCACGGCUGGCCGUGCUGUCCUUGCCAAGGAACUUCCUCGAGGGACCAAUCCCUGCAACCAUCGGCAACAAUCCAUAUCUCACCUGGCUUCAGCUCUCUGCUAAUGACCUCUCUGGCUUGCUCCCUCCUUCCCUAUACAACCUAUCAUUUCUUCAGGACUUUUUUGUGGCUAGCAACAAGCUGCAUGGCCAUCUACCAACUGACCUGGGGAAAAGCCUUCCGAGCAUCCAACAGUUUGGGAUUGGAGAAAACCGAUUUACUGGCACACUUCCACUGUCACUGACCAAUCUCUCAAAGCUCCAGACUCUUUAUGCCGGAUUCAAUAGUUUUACUGGAAUUGUUCCCACCGGAUUGAGCAGAUUGCAAAAUCUUGAAUCACUUCUUCUGGAUGACAAUAUGUUAGAGGCAAAUAACGAGGAGGAGUGGGCAUUUAUUGAUUCUUUGGCGAAUUGUAGCGGGUUACAGACACUGUCCAUUGGAAGGAACAGGCUUGCGGGGAAGCUGCCAGGUUCUGUGGCAAAUUUGUCCACUAAUCUCCAGUGGCUACAGAUUCCCUACAACAACAUAUCGGGUGUCAUCCCAUCAGAUAUUGGAAAUUUGGCAAGUCUUCAAAUGCUUGAUUUUCGCAUAAACUUGCUCACUGGGGUCAUUCCUGAAAGCAUAGGGAAGCUUACAUUACUGCAGAAGCUAGGCCUGAUUUCAAACUCCCUCUCAGGACGUCUGCCAUCCUCUAUCGGAAACCUUUCUAGUCUACUUGAAUUUGAUGCAAACGGCAAUAGCUUCUACGGGCCAAUUCCACCAAGCAUUGGAAACUUGAGCAAACUUUUAGGCCUAGAUCUGUCAUAUAACAAGCUUACUGGACUGAUUCCUAGAGAAAUUAUGGAGCUGCCAUCGAUCUCAAUUGAUCUUGAUCUGUCCAACAGCAUGUUGGAGGGAGCACUUCCAUUAGAAGUUGGUAGCUUGGUAUAUCUUGAACAGCUCUUCCUAUCAGGAAACAAUUUGUCAGGUGAGAUACCUGAUACUAUUGGCAAUUGCAGGGUCAUGGAAAUCCUCUCAAUGGAUGGCAAUUCACUCCAAGGAAGCAUACCUGCUACAUUCAAGAACAUGGUAGGCUUGACUGUACUUAAUUUGACGGACAACAGGCUGAAUGGAAGCAUCCCUAGCAACCUGGCUACCCUUACCAACCUACAGGGUUUGUAUCUUGGCCACAAUAAAUUAUCUGGAACAAUCCCAGAGAUUUUAGGUAAUUCAACAUCGCUGCUUCACCUAGAUCUGUCUUACAAUAAUUUGCAAGGUGAAAUACCAAAAGGAGGAGUUUUCAAAAAUUUGACUGGACUAUCAAUUGUUGGUAACAAUGAGUUAUGCGGGGGAAUACCACCGCUCCAUCUGCCAAAAUGCCCAAGCUCUUGCACAAGAAAGAAUAGAAAAGGCAUACCCAAGUUUCUUAGAAUAGCAAUCCCAACAAUAGGAAGUCUCAUCUUACUUUUUCUGGUUUGGGCUGGAUUUCACCACAGAAAGUCCAAGACAGCACCGAAGAAAGAUUUACCAACAGAAUUUCCAGAGAUAGAGCUUCCAAUAGUUCCAUACAACGAUAUACUGAAAGGAACAGACAGAUUUUCUGAAGCAAACGUGCUUGGAAAGGGAAGAUAUGGUACAGUAUAUAAGGGCACCCUAGAAAAUCAAGCCAUUGUUGUAGCUGUUAAGGUAUUCAAUCUCCAGCUAUCAGGGUCAUAUAAAAGUUUCCAGGCGGAAUGUGAGGCACUAAGGAGAGUAAAGCACCGAUGCCUUGUAAAAAUCAUCACAUGUUGUUCAAGCAUCGACCACCAAGGUCAGGACUUUAGAGCACUAGUCUUUGAGUUGAUGCCUAAUGGAAGCUUAGAUAGAUUGAUCCAUUCAAAUUUAGAAGGCCAAAAUGGCCAAGGAGCACUCAGCUUGUCACAGUGGCUGGAUAUAGCUGUGGACAUUGUGGAUGCUUUGGACUAUCUUCAUAACGGUUGCCAGCCAUCGAUCAUCCAUUGCGAUCUAAAGCCAAGUAACAUUCUUCUCAAUCAGGACAUGAGGGCUCGUGUUGGGGAUUUUGGAAUUGCUAGAGUUCUAGAUGAAGCAACAAGCAAACAUCCUGUGAAUUCUGGGAGCACAUUAGGAAUAAGAGGUUCCAUCGGUUACAUUGCGCCAGGUAGCUCUAAUUUGUUGUUCUGUUUCCCAUGUGCUUCACAUGAUAGCAUCCAAUUAAUUAUCCCUAGGCCCAUCAAAUAUUGUACAUACCUACAUGUGUUCAUGUUUUAAUCCAAUGCAGAAUAUGGAGAAGGUCUUGCAGUAUCGACUUGCGGUGACAUGUUUAGUCUUGGUAUCACCUUGCUAGAGAUAUUCACAGCAAAAAGGCCAACAGAUGAUAUGUUCAGAGAUGGUUUAAGCCUACAUGGUUAUGCUGAGGCGGCUCUUCCUGACAAAGUUAUGGAGAUAGCAGAUUCCAACCUAUGGCUGCAUGAUGAAGCAAGCAAUAGCAAUGAUACAAGGCAUAUAACAAGAAGCAGGAAAUGUUUGUCCGCCAUCAUUCAGCUUGGUGUCCUUUGCUCAAAGCAAUUGCCCUCAGAGCGUUUGUCAAUAAGCGAUGCUACUGCAGAGAUGCAUGCUAUCAGAGAUAAGUAUAUUAGUGCUCAGUGAUGUCAGAUUGGCUACCAUGUUUGUCUAAUUUUAUUGUCAAAGUCCAUAUGUAAUAUAUUUGCUUCUUUUUUGCUUGUGAGUUUGUAGACCUUAUAUUAGUUGGUAUUGUUAUGGUGCUGUGUUGCCAAUACCAUAGGCAGCAUCAUUCAUGAAUCAUGAAAGAAAUUUUGAUUAUCCUGAGAAAAAUCCACAUUUCCGACUAGUUCCCACCUCAAAGUUGAACCCCACCGUUAUAAACACAAGAAUGUGCACAAUAUGCAGUAAUUUGCAAAGUUGAAAAAGAAUAUCAUUGUGACAUGCAUUAUGAAACACAUGUGGUGACAUGCUAUUACAGUAAGGCAAUGUGUGGCGACCCACUCCCCUCACAACGCCUAGGCGCAUAAGGUGCGAGGUGAAGCGAUGCCAUGGACAUAUAAUGAACAUGCUAUUACAGUGUUGGAAAAGUGAUCCCGGGCUAGUGGAGAUGGGCCAAUGCCCAGAACCAUUGAGCCCAAGUCAGGGGGGGGGGGGGGGGGGCACGUAGCUCCUCUGUGCGCCAUGAUCGGGGGCGGCCCCUAACAACCUAAGGUUGUGGCCCCAAGCUGAGACUGAGAGGCACUACAUGUAGUGGGAAGACAGUUACCUGUGUGAGUCAACGCAUGCACAAAAGUGCCCUCCCCGGAUCAAGAAGAGGCUGUGCUACGAGGUGGCACUGGUGGAUCAGAGGUGAGGUGGUACGUCUGCAAUCUCGAUCUACUUCGCUGAUGGUGGACUAUCCAGCUCUAGAUUAUGGUUAGUCACCAAUUCACAUUAGAUUAAAUUGUGUCCAAGUGAUUAGAUCAGAGAUCCUGUGGUUCACUCCCCAAUUUAUCCAAUAUUGUGGCAUCCGAGCCAACUGAUCUAGUUGCUGGACCACUGAUGCGUCGAUUUCACCUCGGAUUAAGUUAAUUUUGAGGUGAAAUUACCUGUUUAGUGCCCUAAUUGCUCUCGGUUGUGCUUAAUUAGCCAUGCUGACGAUGUUCCAGGCCCUAUUUAAUCAUGCUCUAAGACAAUUAAGUGUCUGGUUAUGCCUAAACCUAAUUAUGCAUGUUUAGGGCCCAGGUUUAGUUAAUCAUAAUGAUUAGUCACGGGUUAAUGAUGUUGUGCCCAAUUUGAUGCCUACUUGCUAACAGAUUUUAGUCCUAAUAAUUGUGUAUGAAAUCGUGGCAAAAUUCACGUGCGGGGCUAAGGUUCGGAUCAGCAUGUAGACGUGGGGGAGUCAUGUAAAUCUCAAAAAAAACUCUCCAAAUUACCGAACCCUAGAUCAUGAUUUUCGGGAUGAUUACCUCGGUUUGGUGUCGCUGUCGGCUGUCGCUGCUAGGUGUCCGCUCGUGCAGCCUUGCCGGACGCGCCAUCAGGCGUGCGCAGGCGAUCUCGCACGCAUGAGCUGGCAGCCUGGCAGAGUGCCACCGAUGCCACGCGCGCAUCAGGGAGGCACCGCAACUGCGCCGACCGCGGACCACGCCGCGCAUCAGGGUGCCGCUCUCGCGCGGCCGCCGCACAUAAGGGCGGCGACGGAGCCGCCGCGCGCCGUGCUGCACAGGCCAUCACGCGGCUUCCGCUUCGCCACCGUGCUGCACAGACCUCCCGAGCGCAGUCUUCACCGGCACCGGCGACGAGCCGCUCGUCAGAGCCGCACCGCACGCGCGCUCCGGCGAGUGGGCCGUCGCCAGAUUCCCAGCAGCUGACCCUGCUUGCGUGAAAACCAUCGGAUGGUCGUUAUAGUUGCGGGCCAUAAGUGGGCUGGCAAGCUUGACGAGCGGGUAACCGUCAUCGCGGCCCAUUAAGCUAGUGCGGGUGCACGUUAAGCCAGUGUGGUAUGCUUUUAUUGUUUUUUAGCCAUGCGUUUGGC
rnacentral:lncRNA from 1 species